rnacentral:rRNA from 1 species
UCGGGAAUUUUGGGCAAUGGGCGAAAGCCUGACCCAGCAACGCCGCGUGAAGGAUGAAGUAUUUCGGUAUGUAAACUUCGAAAGAAUAGGAAGAAUAAAUGACGGUACUAUUUAUAAGGUCCGGCUAACUACGUGCCAGCAGCCGCGGUAAUACGUAGGGACCAAGCGUUGUUCGGAUUUACUGGGCGUAAAGGGCGCGUAGGCGGCAAUUCAAGUCAUCUGUGAAAUCUCCGGGCUUAACUCGGAACGGUCAGAUGAUACUGCUUUGCUAGAGUGCAGAAGGGGCAAUCGGAAUUCUUGGUGUAGCGGUGAAAUGCGUAGAUAUCAAGAGGAACACCUGAGGUGAAGACGGGUUGCUGGGCUGACACUGACGCUGAGGCGCGAAAGCCAGGGGAGCAGACGGGAUUAGAUACCCCAGUAGUCCCUGAGCGGGCUGGCAAGGCGCAU